GGAGCAGUCCGGGUGAACGCCGGUCAGUGCAGGACGGGCUGACGGGAGGAAAGUCCGGGCUCCAUAGGGCAGGGUGCUGGUUAACGGCCAGUCGGCGUGAGCUGCAGGAAAGUGCCACAGAAAAAUACCGCCUGUCGCAAGGCAGGUAAGGGUGAAAAGGUGCGGUAAGAGCGCACCGCGCUCCUGGUGACAGGAGCGGUCCAGGCAAACCCCACCCGGAGCAAGAGCCAAUAGGGGAGCGUCUCUUUUCCGAAAGGGAUCGAGGCAAGGGUUGCCCGCCCGACGCUCCCGGGUCUGCUCGCUAAAUAGCUGUACGAGGGCGUCGGCAACGACGACCCUGGAUGAAUGUUCACCGCCCGGGGCAACCCGGGAACAGAACCCGGCUUACAGGGCUGCUCCGACC
rnacentral:RNase_P_RNA from 1 species